UCCCCCACAGCCCAGUUUGCCAUGAGGUACCCCCAGGGAUGAAUGAGCCCCUUACAGCUGGGAGACAGGUGGAGCCUCUGCAAAUGGUGGGGGUGGGUGGUAUAAAUGAGGGGCAGCCUCACAUUUGGGGAUGGCUGGUGGGGGUGUGUGGUUGCACCAAAGUCCCUAGCCUCAUGGGAAGCUCUGAAAGGCAACACGACCUGCAGAGAAGCAUUCUCCAGCUGACUGAAGGAGAAACCAGCACGGUGUCUUCUUGGGUACUGCAAAUGAAUUCUGAUGAAAAUCACACAAUUAUUUUUCCUGCUGGGGACAAACUUCUGCAGUGGCAGUAGUUCAUUCAUUGAUGUUGGACCUGAUGGACCCUUCAGCAUGUGCAGAGCUUGAAUGGAGAACGCUGUACUUGGUCUGUGCUGAGUCCAACCCAACAUCCCCAUGGCCAUCUUGGCCAGCUCUCAGAAGGGGAAUCUUUUAUAGACAAAUGUAUAUGGCCAUGCAGUGUUAGUUACAGCUUCCUUAAAGAUGCAGAUAUACAGCAGCUUUGCUCUGGCUGCAUGCCUACCAAUGGGAAACCCUCCCCAGAACCCAGCCUGGUUGGGACAAGCGUGUUUCAUGGGGCUGUUUUGGAGAGCCCCUUUGAGUGACUUCCUCCCCUGCAGUACUGCACAGCUGUAAGGAAGCUGUGAUGGCUUUGAGGAAGGAGACUGGGUUCUGCAGCUGAUGUUCUCCUGCUUGCCCACCUGCAUCCUACUCCAUCUCCUGCAUACGGAGGGCCUUUGUGCUGCUGUAGGAGCAGCUGCUGUGCACAAAGGUCUGUGGAUGAACAAAGCUAAGCACAAAAAAAUGAUUUAUUACAGCUUUAUGAUACAUUUUUUUUUUUUUUUUUUUGUAGAUAGUAAGGAAAUAUGGGAAGACUGGAGGGAAAAAUCAGUUUGGUUUGGGGAAGCUAUCUUCUCAAGCUGUUCUUGGGCAGUCACUCAGGGUGUGCUGUUGGCUUGUGUUGUGGCAGGGGGUUCUCAUGCAGGGGCAGGGCUCACCCAGUGACAACCCCUCCAGGGCACCCCGAGCCAUCUGAGAUGCUUCCCAUACCACAGAACAGCUGGGGUUGAGCACAUGCCCUGGUAUUCCUAGAAAUCCUCCAGAAAAGCAUUCCUGAAGGAGCGGGACCCCGCGUCCCACGGAUGUCACUGUGGCAGUGAUGGCACGGGAAGGGGACGUCAGAGCUGGCACCUCAGUGACUUCAAAGGCAGGAGCUGAGAGGCUUCUCAGAGCCUCUGCUUUGUUAUUCAUCUUCCCCAGAGCUCAUAAAUUAUCAACAAACAAUCUCAGCGAUCAAGCCGGUGAGGAGGACUGGGUAAUUAUGUUUGUGGUUCAAAAUGAGGGUUGUCAAUUUUAAUUAGGGAAAGCUGAGGGCGCGGGGAAUUUUUAAUGUUACCACCUGAACUCUCCAGUGCUGCUCAGGAAAUAAUUGUAAAUGAAAAAUUAAACAGGGCUUGGUAGGCAUUGCAGAGGGCAUUCCUUUUCCUCCUGUUUUAUUUUCCUUUCUUUGAGGCAGAUUGGGAUCUGGCUAUACAAUGGCCAACAGGUUUGCUGUCAGUACGAGGAGGGGAAGCUGGGAGUGGGCAUGAGGCACCUUGCUCCUGCAUCGUGCAGUGGUGGUGGGGGCACCAGUGCUCAUCCUCCCGUGGCGUGCUGGUGCCAUCAAACCUUCUUGUGCUAAAACCAGGGCAGAGUCGUCCCUGAAUGUCACCGGCAGCCGGAGGGGCUGUCUGUGUGACUGCUGCAUCUGAGCCGGCAAAUGUCAGCUCAUCGCAGGGAGUGGGGGUUAAGUUUUAAUCAGCAGGCCAGCGUCCUCUCCUAAUUUAUUUUCCUUCGUUCAGAGAGGAUUUGCUGGGCUGCGUGUGAACCUGCGAAUAUUUAUAGUGAGAAUUCUUUUUCUGCUGCUCCCGUGGUUAACAAGUUUGGUGCUUCCCAAGGAUGCACACAAUAGGGUCAGACCUGGAAUGGCCCCAUCCCAUCCUGGCACUGCCCUUUGGGCACCAGCAGAGCAGUGCAGGCAUGGCCUUGGCUCAUCUGCAGGCUGCUAGGACAGGGUGCUCUUCCAAGUAUGCUUGGUACCAGCACAACCUCAUCCAAAAUUUUCUCAAGACAGCAGAAAGUCAUUUUAAUGGGCUUAGAUGAGGUCCAAAGCGAGUCAACUGGAGCAAAUGAACUCCCAUUCACUAGUACAGUCUUAUAAUAGCCAGGCUGCAGAAAAGUGUUUGGCAAUUGUCAUUGUUAAGUCAUAAAGUAUAAUGAAAAAAGAACGCAAUUAUUUUUAAUACUAUGCACAUCCAUUAUGGUAAGAAUAUGCUGAGUCUCUGGUUGGAAAUACUUCAGGUGGCUCGGAUGAUGCUGGUGGGGGAGAGGAGAUCGCUUACAGCAGUCUGUGGCUGGAUGGGAUCACAGCCCUCUGUAGGGUCUGGUGAUGACCGAAAUAAGCCAGGGUCAGCUGCUGAGAGGUGGUCUCGGUUGCCUGUCAGCAUUGUGGCACGUGGAGUAGUUCUCAGUGGGUGACUCAAAGGGCUGAUUCCCACCCCAUAAAGCCAGAGGGUUUGUCCCUGUGCGCACCUGCAGAACCUCGCUGUGUGGGGCUCCAGGUGAGUGCCAACAUGGAUGGGCGCCUUCUGAAAUGACAGGAAGAAACACAGGAAGCUGUGAGCCCAAUGGUGUGGGCACGGAUUUCUCUUGGAUAUUCUCUCUGCGAUCCUAAAAAGCAGGAAAGCAUUUGUGGUCUGUGGGCACAGCUCUGGCAGGGUGACCCAAACCUCAGUGAUGCGUCAUCUGAAGUCAGACCCCAGAGAAAACCACCUCCUUCCUUCUAGAAACUUCAGUGUCUCUCACUGCAGUUCCUGAUUUGCAGCCAUGCCUGAGGAAUGGGGAUAUUCAUAUUGAGGAAAUAUGCAGCCAGCCUGAAUCACUGCUGUGAGUGUCCUCCCUACUGCAGUUUCUGUGCCAGCAGUUUGGCUGUUUGACGCUGCGCAGUCUGGAAAGAGCCUUGCACGUGUGAAGCAUGCUCCUGGGAGCACCACAUUUGUAGCUGCUGCUGUAAAUUGCAGCUGAAUGUGCUUCGAGCUUUGCUGCGAUUUGGGGAUAGCAGGUCUGGCAACAAAGCCACUUGGCCCCAAGGUUUGGAGGCAGGAGAACCGCAUUGCAGAUCCAUCUUGGGGGCACAAUGAACACCUGGUGCCUUGGCUCCUCUUCUCCUAGCUCAAUACAACCACGCCAGCUCCUUGUUCUGGAUGAUCUGUCCUGCAGGUUGUUUGGUGCCUCUGGUGAUUUUGCUCCAGAAUCCUUGGUUCAGUGCCUGGCAUCACCAGCAGAGCAGACUGCGCCAUCGUUCAGCAGAGAGUGUGCAAGUGCCACUGGGUGCAGGUGGGCUGGGGUUGGGAACUGAAAUGUGCUCUCAGAGGAGGAAGAGGCUGCAGACAUGUUCAUCAGCUCCUGUGUCUCCAGCAGGCUGGAGGAGCGCUAAAGCGCAUUUAAAGCAACAGCUUAAUUAAAUGGUGCUGCAGUUCUCACCUUGCCUCAGAAAACUUGGCUUAUUGCCUCUAGCCCCAUGUUCUGAAAGGGAAGAACAGGCAUGCACAUAGCCAAAAAUUUAGGUUGCUGGCCAAAAGCAUCCCAAAACACAGAGCAUCUGGCUUGACCUCCUCACUCUGCUUCUGCUGCUGGCCGCUUCUCCAAGUGCCUCUGCUCUCUGCAAUUCCUUGGCAUUGUCUGUGGAAGGAGGACACAAGGCAGAGGCUGCUUUGCAAAAAGAGGCAGCUGCUAUCCUCUCUUGCCCUGUCGGUCACCCUGCUGUGUGAGGAUGCUGUGCUGCUUGCAAGGGAUGUCCAGCUGUGAGCAUCCACUGGGACUAGUGAACAAUGCUGGGCAGCCACACUUCAGCAACAUCCUUUGUUGACUUUUGGUCCUUGCUACAGAGCUAUUCCCAAAGAUGAGCGUAGAGAACCAUGAGCGUUUUCUCCCCCUGUCUGUUUGCAUUUGUGGGAUCUGACCUACUUUUUUUAAUUGCGGCACAACAGCCUCCCUUGUUUUCCAACUUGCAGGAGCAGCUGUGCCUUGUGCUGCAAUAAGCUGCACCUUAGCUAAUCUGCCCCGAGGAAGGAAGGCAGUUAUUGGGGAGGCUGAUGGCACUGCUCAUGUGGUGACCUUCCUCUCCUCCAUGGAUCCCACAGCCACGAGUAUCCAUGUGCCAAUGGCCAUAGCUGUCCCCAGGGGCGCAUCUGUGUUUGCAGAGAUGAGGCCACUUCUACACCAUGGUUUGCAAGGGGGCACAGCUGGGAGCAUCCCCACAGAGACCUUUUCCUUUCCUACUGCCCAUGUGCUGGCUGAGGAGCAGCCGCUGAGAGCCAGGGAGAGGCAGCCGGGAUGUGCCAUGGGCUUUGGGAGGACAACGUUCCAACAGCAGGGAAACAGUAAUGUACGCUCCUUCCCCUUGUUAGUAUUUCUUCCAAAGACGCUGCAGCUAUCUGAGAUGUUCUUACACAACAGCAAGUCGUAAGUGAUGGCUUUCUUUGAGCAACACAGACUGGGAACUCAGUUAGAUGCAUCAAAUUAACUGUCAAAAUAAUCUUCCAGGAUGCGAUGAACCCAAAGAUUAAGCAGCAUGUUAUUCUUUUUUUGUGCUUUUUUUUUUA